rnacentral:tRNA from 1 species
GGUAAGGUGGUUCAGUGGUAGAGUGCUUGCCUUGCAUGCAUGAGGGCCUGGGUUCGAUUCCUCAGUACCA